GCAUCGAUAGUUUAGGGGUGGAAUUGAAGCUUCCCAUCUUCACAUGGAGGGAUCUGCUUUAGGUGCGGGUUCGAGUCCCGCUCGAUGCA